AUUGAACGCUGGCGGCAGGCUUAACACAUGCAAGUCGAGCGGGGGAAGGUAGCUUGCUACCGGACCUAGCGGCGGACGGGUGAGUAAUGCUUAGGAAUCUGCCUAUUAGUGGGGGACAACAUCUCGAAAGGGAUGCUAAUACCGCAUACGUCCUACGGGAGAAAGCAGGGGAUCUUCGGACCUUGCGCUAAUAGAUGAGCCUAAGUCGGAUUAGCUAGUUGGUGGGGUAAAGGCCUACCAAGGCGACGAUCUGUAGCGGGUCUGAGAGGAUGAUCGGCCACACUGGGACUGAGACACGGCCCAGACUCCUCCGGGAGGCAGCAGUGGGGAAUAUUGGACAAUGGGGGGAACCCUGCUCCAGCCAUGCCGCGUGGGAAGAAGGCCUUAUGGUUGUAAAGCACUUUAAGCGAGGAGGAGGCGACUUUAGUUAAUACCUAGAGAUAGUGGACGUUACUCGCAGAAUAAGCACCGGCUAACUCUGUGCCAGCAGCCGCCGCCG
rnacentral:rRNA from 1 species